rnacentral:lncRNA from 1 species
UCUUGUUGAAUGCUGGGGCCAAGAACACUGACCACACCAGCAGAGAAGGCACUGGCAAAGAAACCAGACUUCUGAAGGAGCCGCGCAUGUGGACACAGCAGCACAGACUCAGCUUGAUCUCCAGAACGCUUCUUCUGGGAGGACCCCUGCCUCUGUAUGGGAGAUGCCUGGGAGCGUCCAUGGGCCAGAUCCACUGGUGUCACCGUGCCUCGCUGGGCUGGCCCAGGAAAGUCAUUUUAGUUUUGUGUUGAAAGGGGGUGGGGCAUUGGGGAAACUUCUGGGCAGUUUUCUCAGGGCCGCAGCCUUGGAUUUGGGUAUCAUAUUCUGAAAUGACUGGAAUGGUCAGGAAAGCUCUCUGAGAAGGUGAUAUUUGGGCUAAGGCCUGCAUAGAGAUGUGGGGGGAGAAUAUUCUAGACCAAGGCCAUUGGGAUGGGCCGAGUUCAGGCCCAUCUUCUCUGAGUUCAGGGUUUGGGUGAAGCUGUCGUGGGCGUUUUAUGGCCUCUAAUGGUCCCUGUGAGCGCCCUUCCUAUGGGCACACAUCCCUCAUGGUGUCUGUCACAGUUCCAAGGGGGAAACCAGACUCUAUUUCCCAGCAUCCCUUGCGGCCAGGCCCCUCAUGUGACCUGAGCCCCCUCAUGUGACUCAGGCUUAACUAAUCAGAAACCUCCCAUGAGCCUUUGCCCAGGAAAAGAACUGGAGGAAGAUGGCAGCUGUGUGGAUCCCUGUGUGGGCACUGGGGCUGGCAGGGCUGGUGGACUCAGCGGGAGUGGGAAGGAAGAAGGUUGAUGUCCCCUCCCGGGGCCAGCAGAGUGAGCUGUGGGGUCAGGUUGAGUGGCCUUCCUUGGAGCAGCCCUUGUUGUGGGCUGGACAUUUGUAGCCAUGGAGUCUUUGCCCCCAUGAAGCGUCGGGACCUUCCUGAUGUCCACACUGGCCCCAAGGAAUUCGCUGCCUCUGGGUCUUGUUGGAAAUGCACUAUCUCAUAUCCCAGCCAGACUUGCUGAGUCGGGGUCUGCAUUUUAUCAAGACCCCUGGGGAUUUGUGUAUAAUGGGAGUCAGAGAAGUGUGAUCUGUAAUGAGCUACUCCUGCUUAAUGCAGCUGGACGGGUGGUCUUCUGUGGUUACAGCAAAGAACCCGAUGAUGCAGAAGCCAUGGGAGGGAUGUGACCAGGGAGUGAGAUGAUCGGGUUCAUCCUUUAUCCAUCCUGCUGCUGGACUGCAGACGGGCGAGACAGGCCAGCACGUAUCCAGAGAAAACACAUCUCUGACAAGACAAACAUGCAAAACCUGUGAAAAGACCCAGACACACACACCUGCAGGUGAAACUUAGACACACAUGCACACACACACAAACCCAGAAACAACCGUCUACACAGGCGCACAGAACCACAAACACACAAGCAGGGGUGGGGUGACUUCACCCCAGAACAUCCCCUUUCUUAUUUCCCUGGAUCUGCAAGAAGGAGCCGAGCCUGCCUGACUUUGGUCCCUCACUCACCACUAGACCUUGAAAGUGAAAUUGAAUAUCCACAAGCCCGUGACCUUGGGGUUCUGGAGAAUGGGUCCUGUAAUGAGUGUCAUGGCUCCAGGCCAGGUGAAAUGUAGGCGUUCCAGCCUCUGUCCGGGAGGGUCACUCGGCCCACUUGCUGAGGGCCGCAGAUCCAUGUGGCUCAAAUGCUAAUGGCUUUUCAGCUGGGGCUGCUAGAGCCCAGUGCAGGACCAUGGGCAGUGUGUUUGCUGGAGGCACUUUUGCCCUCGACAGGACAUUGCGGGCAGGCUACCUGCUGCGACCCAGGUUAGCACAAUGUGAUACGUGCCAUUUGUGCAGCAGCAGGGGACUGGGCAUAGAGACAGGGGACAUCAGCCUGUGCCCGUGAUCCAGCUGUAAACACAGAUUUAUACCCAGGCCAAAUCUAUCCACGAAUACAUUUCAAAGGAAUAAAAUCACAUUAGAGGGAUAGUAAUUGUGUAAUAUAUUGCACUUGAAAUUAGAAUUCUAUGAAAUCUCAUUAUUUAUGUCUAGACUAAAAGAGAUUGAGUUUUGGUUAUUGAACUACAUUUCCUGUUGCUCUGAUGAGGAAUGAUGCUUCUCUAAGAGCCGACUGUCUCAUUCCUGAAGCGUGGUGUUUUCAGAGCAGCACCACGAGGGGCUUCUGGAAGUCUCUUGGACUCAGGGUUGGUCUGGAGGGACAUUGGGGCUGCCCUGGCCUGCUUGUCCUCAGGCCCCUUCAUCCCCCUUCCCACGAGUCUCUGGGCUCACCCCGGUAGGCCACAUUUCCCAGGCUCUGACUGGGCUGGUGUCUGCCUGGAUUAGUGGUGGGGGGCUGUGGUGGAGGGUGGGGGCAGGAGGACCCAGGGCGCCUCCCUCUGCAGUGGCUGCAUCUCCCCCAUGGCUUCAGUCCCCGCUGUGGCCUGUUGAGCUGGGGACCCUACUCCCUCUCAUGGUCUACCCCAGGGUCAGUGACAGGUUGCUGUGCUGGCUGAUCCUCACCUCACAAGCUGCCUUUUGCCUUCUCAGCUUUCCAUGCAAAUCCCUGCAUUGUCCCUUCAUGGUGAAGCACCUGCAGUGACCCCUCUUUCCUUGGACCGUGGUGCAGACAUGCCCCUCACCAGGACACCCAGGCCUUUACCCCACCCAUUUCGUCCUCCUCUCAUCCUCACACACCCUCUGCCAUGGUGCCCAGACUCCCUGCUGUCCUGCACACCAGCCCCAGCACCUUCGCUCCUGCUGCCUGCUUGUCUGGAGUCCCCACCAUAGAAACAUCCCCUCUGUGAAGUCCCUGCUCACAUGUCAUCUCCGGAGACCACUCCCGAGCCUCCCACCUGCAGAUAGCAUCUGCUGGGACCUUCCAGAGCCUUUUUCUGUCCCCACUUGAGUGCUCAGCAAGAGUGCAUCUUGCAGUAGUCAAACGUGUUCAUUUGCAUUCAUUCUUUUAUUCAUCAAUUAUUCACCAAGUAUUCACUGAUGCUGACUGUGUGUAAAUCACUGUGAUACAGCAGGGUAAUCAGGAGUUUUUCCAUUGUAAGUGACGGAAAGCCCAACUCAAAUUGGCUUCAGUAAGAAGGAAAGUUUUUUGACAUAUAACAAUCCAUAGGUAUGUCAGCUUCAGGCAUGGCUGAAUCCAGGAGAGCAACUUAGGUCUCUGAAGGCUCUUUACACCUCUUGGCUCUACUUCAUGUUGGUGAUGAGCUGCAACAGUGUAAUGAGAAUUUAUUUGCACUUCUAAGUGGCAGAAAUCUCUAGAAUUGGCUUAAACACCAUUGUUUGUUGAUGCAAAUAACCACUCAGGGAUAGUUUAUCUUCAGGCAUGGCUGGAUCCAGGAGAUCUCCGUAAUUCUCUCCUGUUGCCUCUUACUGUGCUUCCUCUGUAUUGGCUGCUUCCUCAGACAGAAUCCCUCACUGUGGUGUCAAGAUACCUUCUAGGGGUCGUGAGGCUUGCAUCUCAGCCUCUCAGGAACCCUGCUGGAAGGGGAGGUGCUUGAUUUCUCCAGUCCUUCAAAACCAGAGUUUCAAAUUUUAGUUUCCUUGUCUCCCAAAGGUCUGGUUUUGGCCACACAUCCAUCUGUGUUCCUAUAAUUGUGGCCAGGGGAAUGCAGGGUUUUGAUUGUGCCUGACUCACAGGCCCAAUGAACCAAGCAUACAUUUCAGGCAAGUCAAAUAUAUGUGUGUAAACAAUGAAAGAUCAUAUAUAUUCAAUUCAAAAUUUGAUUUUGAGAAAAUUGUAGAUUCAUGUGCUGUUGUAAGAAGUAAUGCAGGACCUUUUGCAACUUUUACCCAGUUUCCCCAGUAGUAACUUCUGGCAAAAUGAUGGUCCAAUAUCACAGCCAGAGCAUUGCCAGUGAGGCCUUGUCGGGUGGAAAAGUGGCAGCCAUCCCAGCCAAAAUGUCAGCAGAUAGAUCUCCGUUGUGUUGUCAGAUGCGUCAUAUGCUUCUGUGCAUGCAUCAGUGUGUUUGUAAGACCACUGCACAGGGUGGCAGAGGUUCGCCACAGAGGCCACAGGUUACAAGGGUUUCGUGAGGUGUGGUUAGAUUGGAGGAGUUAUGCGUUAGCUUUAGAGGGGAAAAUGUUCUUACAUGGGUGUAAGAAACUGAAAAUUAGUUUCCCAAGAUGGUGGACCAGGAAUAUGUUCAUGCAUCUCUGUGUAAUUAAAAUUAGUUUUUAAAUAGAAAUAAAAUAGUGUCCAUUUCCCUGAA